GACACGGUCCAAACUCCUACGGGAGGCAGCAGUGAGGAAUAUUGGUCAAUGGACGAGAGUCUGAACCAGCCAAGUAGCGUGCAGGAAGACGGCCCUAUGGGUUGUAAACUGCUUUUAUAAGGGAAUAAAGUGAGUCUCGUGAGACUUUUUGCAUGUACCUUAUGAAUAAGGACCGGCUAAUUCCGUGCCAGCAGCCGCGGUAAUACGGAAGGUCCGGGCGUUAUCCGGAUUUAUUGGGUUUAAAGGGAGCGUAGGCCGGAGAUUAAGCGUGUUGUGAAAUGUAGACGCUCAACGUCUGCACUGCAGCGCGAACUGGUUUCCUUGAGUACGCACAAAGUGGGCGGAAUUCGUGGUGUAGCGGUGAAAUGCUUAGAUAUCACGAAGAACUCCGAUUGCGAAGGCAGCUCACUGGAGCGCAACUGACGCUGAAGCUCGAAAGUGCGGGUAUCGAACAGGAUUAGAUACCCUGGUAGUCCGCACGGUAAACGAUGGAUGCCCGCUGUUGGUCUGAAUAGGUCAGCGGCCAAGCGAAAGCAUUAAGCAUCCCACCUGGGGAGUACGCCGGCAACGGUGAAACUCAAAGGAAUUGACGGGGGCCCGCACAAGCGGAGGAACAUGUGGUUUAAUUCGAUGAUACGCGAGGAACCUUACCCGGGCUUGAAUUGCAGAGGAAGGAUUUGGAGACAAUGACGCCCUUCGGGGCCUCUGUGAAGGUGCUGCAUGGUUGUCGUCAGCUCGUGCCGUGAGGUGUCGGCUUAAGUGCCAUAACGAGCGCAACCCUCAUUCUCGUUUGCCAUCAGGUAAUGCUGGGCACUCCGGGAAUACUGCCAUCGUAAGAUGUGAGGAAGGUGGGGAUGACGUCAAAUCAGCACGGCCCUUACGUCC
rnacentral:rRNA from 1 species